rnacentral:rRNA from 1 species
CGCUCGUCUGUCGACUGUACUGGGCGUAAGCGCACGCAGGCGGUUUGUUAAGUCAGAUGUGAAAUCCCCGGGCUCAACCUGGGAACUGCAUCUGAUACUGGCAAGCUUGAGUCUCGUAGAGGGGGGUAGAAUUCCAGGUGUAGCGGUGAAAUGCGUAGAGAUCUGGAGGAAUACCGGUGGCGAAGGCGGCCCCCUGGACGAAGACUGACGCUCAGGUGCGAAAGCGUGGGGAGCAAACAGGAUUAGAUACCCUGGUAGUCCACGCCGUAAACGAUGUCGACUUGGAGGUUGUGCCCUUGAGGCGUGGCUUCCGGAGCUAACGCGUUAAGUCGACCGCCUGGGGAGUACGGCCGCAAGGUUAAAACUCAAAUGAAUUGACGGGGGCCCGCACAAGCGGUGGAGCAUGUGGU